rnacentral:rRNA from 1 species
GAUGAACGCUGGCGGCGUGCCUAAUACAUGCAAGUCGAGCGAACGGACGAGAAGCUUGCUUCUCUGAUGUUAGCGGCGGACGGGUGAGUAACACGUGGAUAACCUACCUAUAAGACUGGGAUAACUUCGGGAAACCGGAGCUAAUACCGGAUGAUAUUUUGAACCGCAUGGUUCAAAAGUGAAAGACGGUCUUGCUGUCACUUAUAGAUGGAUCCGCGCUGCAUUAGCUAGUUGGUAAGGUAACGGCUUACCAAGGCAACGAUGCAUAGCCGACCUGAGAGGGUGAUCGGCCACACUGGAACUGGGCCACGGUCCAUACUCCUACGGGAGGCAGCAGUAGGGAAUCUUCCGCAAUGGUCGAAAGCCUGACGGAGCAACGCCGCGUGAGUGAUGAAGGUCUUCGGAUCGUAAAACUCUGUUAUUAGGGAAGAACAUAUGUGUAAGUAACUGUGCACAUCUUGACGGUACCUAAUCAGAAAGCCACGGCUAACUACGUG